CAGCCUAGGGAGCUCUUGGAAACUUUGGACAUUACAAUCCAAGAAUCUGAAAGCUCUUAUUUCUAGCCAUGGUAUCUGUGCUUUGUGUGAAUCAACAGUUAAUUCCAGGAGUUUUUCACCUAGCAAACUAUGAAAGGCAGAGACAAGGAGCUGAAGUCCCCUACAUGCUCUUUAUCUAGAUGGUUUGCUCUUAUUUAUAAACAUGUUAGAUGUCUCGUCAGUUGGAAGAGACGAUGGGAGAGGAACCCAGAGCUAUAUGAAGAUGGUCUGGGACAAGGAGCUGGAUUGUAAAUGAAAGAUGAUGACUGGAAAAGCUGAAAAUCAGGCACUACACUUCCAUGAUGCUACCAUCAUGUGUCAGAAAGAGAUCCCUGGCCAUUGCGUGCCUUAUGUACAAUGUUCAGUACAAGCUACUAUCAUAAGUUGUGUCUGGGUAUUUGUAAAUAAAAGCUGCCAAGUACAAUGUAUUCUAAAA